UUGCUAUGGAGCUGCUCUCUAGAAGAACACAGGGCUCAGAUCCCAGACCCACUGCUCCCUAAGCUCUGCUUCAACAUUAUCCAGACACCCUCACCACCAUUUUUCAAAGACUCAUUUUGUGGGCAGUAAAAUGACAAGAAGGAUUCAAAGACCAAAGACUGUGCCAGUCAAACACAACAGAAGGAUUGAGGAUGGUUCUCUACCCAGUGUGAAAGAAAAUGUUCAACUUACAACUUUUCAAGCCCAAACAGCUCCAUCUGGGAUUUCAUUUAGACCUGAAAGCUUUUCUUCCUAGUGUGUGGCAGUUGGUCUGAGAUGAACUCAUCUUGAGUGUCCCUACCACAUGAAGCCAGCUUUGGUCUCAGAUCUGAAAGCAUUCAGGCAUUGCUUUGCAUUCUACGAGCUGUUUCUGGCUCUUGGCUGCCCAGCAGUCUCUUCGUUGAAGUUUUAAGGCCAUGAUAGUGGGCCUUGGUGAUGACCUGUCCUUACUAAGAAAUGAAGACCCAGCACUGGAAAGCUGUCUCAUCCAUUAAGGAUCCUCCUAGGAUCCCCGAUCAGUUCCAGCUCCUACCUGUAACUCUAGUUCCAGGGGAUCUGAUAGUCUCCUCUGGCCUCUGUGGGUACUAGGCAUACAUACGUGCAAGCAAUCAUACAUAUAAAACAAAAUAAAAUACAUCUUUAUAAAAAUAUGCUAUUAAAAGUAAGUGAAAAAUGUUAUAGUUCAA
rnacentral:lncRNA from 1 species